CCUCGAUGAUGAUGAUGAUGAUGAUUGUGGUUCGGUUAGGAAAGGACGCUAAUUUCUGCUCCCGACAUGGGCUGCAGAAAUUAGCGUCCUUUCCUAACCGAACCACAAUCAUCAUCAUCAUCAUCG
rnacentral:pre_miRNA from 1 species